GGAGAGGUGACGGAGUGGCCGAUCGUGCGGCAUUGGAAAUGCCGUGUACCUCACGGUACCGUGGGUUCGAAUCCCACCCUCUCCG
rnacentral:tRNA from 1 species